rnacentral:rRNA from 1 species
UACGGAGGAUGCGAGCGUUAUCCGGAUUUAUUGGGUUUAAAGGGUGCGCAGGCGGGCUGUUAAGCCGGCGGUAAAAAUUCAGGGCUCAACCCUGUCGAGCCGUCGGAACUGGCAGUCUUGAGUGGGCGAGAAGUACGCGGAAUGCGCGGUGUAGCGGUGAAAUGCAUAGAUAUCACGCAGAACUCCGAUUGCGAAGGCAGCAUACCGGCGCUCAACUGACGCUCAGGCACGAAAGCGUGGGUAUCGAACAGG